rnacentral:rRNA from 1 species
AUUGAACGCUGGCGGCAGGCCUAACACAUGCAAGUCGAGCGGAUGAAGGGAGCUUGCUCCUGGAUUCAGCGGCGGACGGGUGAGUAAUGCCUAGGAAUCUGCCUGGUAGUGGGGGAUAACGUCCGGAAACGGGCGCUAAUACCGCAUACGUCCUGAGGGAGAAAGUGGGGGAUCUUCGGACCUCACGCUAUCAGAUGAGCCUAGGUCGGAUUAGCUAGUUGGUGGGGUAAAGGCCUACCAAGGCGACGAUCCGUAACUGGUCUGAGAGGAUGAUCAGUCACACUGGAACUGAGACACGGUCCAGACUCCUACGGGAGGCAGCAGUGGGGAAUAUUGGACAAUGGGCGAAAGCCUGAACCAGCCAUGCCGCGUGUGUGAAGAAGGUCUUCGGAUUGUAAAGCACUUUAAGUUGGGAGGAAGGGCAGUAAGUUAAUACCUUGCUGUUUGGACGUUACCAACAGAAUAAGCACCGGCUAACUUCGU